ACUAAGCGUACACGGUGGAUGCCCUGGCAGUCAGAGGCGAUGAAGGGCGUGCUAAUCUGCGAUAAGCGCCGGUAAGGUGAUAUGAACCGUUAUAACCGGCGAUACCCGAAUGGGGAAACCCAGUGUGAUUCGUCACACUAUCAUUAACUGAAUCCAUAGGUUAAUGAGGCGAACCGGGGGAACUGAAACAUCUAAGUACCCCGAGGAAAAGAAAUCAACCGAGAUUCCCCCAGUAGCGGCGAGCGAACGGGGAGGAGCCCAGAGCCUGAAUCAGCAUGUGUGUUAGUGGAAGCGUCUGGAAAGGCGCGCGAUACAGGGUGACAGCCCCGUACACAAAAGCGCAUGUGCUGUGAGCUCGAUGAGUAGGGCGGGACACGUGGUAUCCUGUCUGAAUAUGGGGGGACCAUCCUCCAAGGCUAAAUACUCCUGACUGACCGAUAGUGAACCAGUACCGUGAGGGAAAGGCGAAAAGAACCCCGGCGAGGGGAGUGAAAAAGAACCUGAAACCGUGUACGUACAAGCAGUGGGAGCNUGAGGGAAAGGCGAAAAGAACCCCGGCGAGGGGAGUGAAAAAGAACCUGAAACCGUGUACGUACAAGCAGUGGGAGCCCCACCACUAAGCCAGUGGUGAACUCCACAUACGCAUCCUUUGCUGAGGAUACGGUUAACGGAGCGCAAGCGACGUUCAACCGCAAAAGAAGCAGAGGGGGCUUAGUGGUGGGGUGACUGCGUACCUUUUGUAUAAUGGGUCAGCGACUUAUAUUCUGUAGCAAGGUUAACCGUAUAGGGGAGCCGGAGGGAAACCGAGUCUUAAUUGGGCGUUAAGUUGCAGGGUAUAGACCCGAAACCCGGUGAUCUAGCCAUGGGCAGGUUGUAAUAGCUCACUGGUCGAGUCGGCCUGCGCGGAAGAUGUAACGGGGCUAAACCAUGCACCGAAGCUGCGGCAGCGAACGUAUCACUUAAAGCGAUUCAGCGGGUUACGAUUGACGGAGCGAAGCGACGUCAAAGCGUAUACAAAGUCGAGUCGGUUUAAGGAUACGUUCGUUGGGUAGGGGAGCGUUCUGUAAGCCUGUGAAGGUGGCCUGUGAGGGUUGCUGGAGGUAUCAGAAGUGCGAAUGCUNGUUGGGUAGGGGAGCGUUCUGUAAGCCUGUGAAGGUGGCCUGUGAGGGUUGCUGGAGGUAUCAGAAGUGCGAAUGCUGACAUAAGUAACGAUAAAGCGGGUGAAAAGCCCGCUCGCCGGAAGACCAAGGGUUCCUGUCCAACGUUAAUCGGGGCAGGGUGAGUCGACCCCUAAGGCGAGGCCGAAAGGCGUAGUCGAUGGGAAACGGGUUAAUAUUCCCGUACUUGGUGUUACUGCGAAGGGGGGACGGAGAAGGCUAUGUUGGCCGGGCGACGGUUGUCCCGGUUUAAGCGUGUAGGUGUGUGUUCCAGGUAAAUCCGGUUCACUUUAACACUGAGGCGUGAUGACGAGGCACUACGGUGCUGAAGCAACAAAUGCCCUGCUUCCAGGAAAAGCCUCUAAGCAUCAGGUAACAUCAAAUCGUACCCCAAACCGACACAGGUGGUCAGGUAGAGAAUACCAAGGCGCUUGAGAGAACUCGGGUGAAGGAACUAGGCAAAAUGGUGCCGUAACUUCGGGAGAAGGCACGCUGACAUGUAGGUGAAGUGAUUUACUCAUGGAGCUGAAGUCAGUCGAAGAUACCAGCUGGCUGCAACUGUUUAUUAAAAACACAGCACUGUGCAAACACGAAAGUGGACGUAUACGGUGUGACGCCUGCCCGGUGCCGGAAGGUUAAUUGAUGGGGUCAGCGCAAGCGAAGCUCCUGAUCGAAGCCCCGGUAAACGGCGGCCGUAACUAUAACGGUCCUAAGGUAGCGAAAUUCCUUGUCGGGUAAGUUCCGACCUGCACGAAUGGCGUAAUGAUGGCCAGGCUGUCUCCACCCGAGACUCAGUGAAAUUGAACUCGCUGUGAAGAUGCAGUGUACCCGCGGCAAGACGGAAAGACCCCGUGAACCUUUACUAUAGCUUGACACUGAACAUUGAGCCUUGAUGUGUAGGAUAGGUGGGAGGCUUUGAAGCGUGGACGCCAGUCUGCGUGGAGCCGGCCUUGAAAUACCACCCUUUAAUGUUUGAUGUUCUAACGUGGACCCGUGAUCCGGGUUGCGGACAGUGUCUGGUGGGUAGUUUGACUGGGGCGGUCUCCUCCUAAAGAGUAACGGAGGAGCACGAAGGUUGGCUAAUCCUGGUCGGACAUCAGGAGGUUAGUGCAAUGGCAUAAGCCAGCUUGACUGCGAGCGUGACGGCGCGAGCAGGUGCGAAAGCAGGUCAUAGUGAUCCGGUGGUUCUGAAUGGAAGGGCCAUCGCUCAACGGAUAAAAGGUACUCCGGGGAUAACAGGCUGAUACCGCCCAAGAGUUCAUAUCGACGGCGGUGUUUGGCACCUCGAUGUCGGCUCAUCACAUCCUGGGGCUGAAGUAGGUCCCAAGGGUAUGGCUGUUCGCCAUUUAAAGUGGUACGCGAGCUGGGUUUAGAACGUCGUGAGACAGUUCGGUCCCUAUCUGCCGUGGGCGCUGGAGAACUGAGGGGGGCUGCUCCUAGUACGAGAGGACCGGAGUGGACGCAUCACUGGUGUUCGGGUUGUCAUGCCAAUGGCACUGCCCGGUAGCUAAAUGCGGAAGAGAUAAGUGCUGAAAGCAUCUAAGCACGAAACUUGCCCCGAGAUGAGUUCUCCCUGAGACUUAAAGUCUCCUGAAGGAACGUUGAAGACGACGACGUUGAUAGGCCGGGUGUGUAAGCGCAGCGAUGCGUUGAGCUAACCGGUACUAAUGAACCGUGAGGCUUAACC
rnacentral:rRNA from 1 species